GCCUGGGUAGCUCAGUGGUAGAGCAGAGGACUNNGAGGACUGAAAAUCCUCGUGUCGUCAGUUCAAUUCUGACCCCAGGCACCA
rnacentral:tRNA from 1 species